AUUCCAGCUCCAAUAGCGUAUACUAAAGUUGUUGCAGUUAAAAAGCUCGUAGUUGGAUUUCUAAUCUCUCUUGGGGUUCCUUUUCUAAAGAAAUGUGCGACCAUUCAAGAGAGAUUAUCCUCGUGCCUAGCCUUUCUCACUUUCAUUAGUCAGGAAGGGGACGCACGUCAUUUACUGUGAGCAAAAUAGAGUGUUCAAAGCAGGCUUAGGCCAUGAAUAUAUUAGCAUGGAAUAAUAAGAUAGGACCUUGGUCUAUUUUGUUGGUUUACAUUCCAAGGUAAUGAUUAAUAGGGAUAGUUGGGGGUAUUCGUAUUCAAUUGUCAGAGGUGAAAUUCUUGGAUUUAUGGAAGACGAACUACUGCGAAAGCAUUUACCAAGGAUGUUUUCAUUA
rnacentral:rRNA from 1 species